AUUGAACGCUGGCGGCAGGCUUAACACAUGCAAGUCGAACGAGUGGCGGACGGGUGAGUAAUGCUUGGGAAUCUAGCUUAUGGAGGGGGAUAACUACGGGAAACUGUAGCUAAUACCGCGUACCAUAGGAUGAGCCCAAGUGGGAUUAGGUAGUUGGUGAGGUAAAGGCUCACCAAGCCGACGAUCUCUAGCUGGUCUGAGAGGAUGACCAUCCACACGGGGACUGAGGCAGUGCCCAGACUCCUACGGUAGGCAGCAUGGGGGAAUAGUGCGCAAGGGGGGCAACCCUGACGCAGCCAUGCCGCGUGAAUGAAGAAGGCCUUCGGGUUGUAAAGUUCUUUCAGUCGGGAGGGGUUACCGACAGAAGAAGGACCGGCUAACUCCGUGCCAGCAGCCGCGGUAAUAC
rnacentral:rRNA from 1 species